GAGUUCCGGUUUCCCAGGCUCUCAAAAGGACAUAAAAAUAUCUACCACACAGGGUUGUUGUGGGCAUCAGCUGAUGCAUCAGUGUUCUCUCAGAUGAUUGGCUGUCGUUUCUCCUCCUCCCUUGUUUCUAAGACCAGCAAAGCCAAGUUCUGCAGCGGGGCCGUGUGACAGCUCUCCAUCUUCCUGCAUACAUCUCACUCAGAUGAAGUCCUUUCUCGCCCUCUAAACAGCUGGCCAAGGAUGAGUCACCACCACAGGAGAGCCAUAUCCUAGAGAAUGAAAGGGGAGUACAUUGCAGGCAGAAAAAAAACCAUCUUGCAGAAGGGCACAGAGAUACAGCAGAGUAUGGAAUGUGUGGGAACAGUAAGUUGUCUGGAGCACUAAAGCAUGCAGAAUAUCUUAAUCCCAAAACCUGAGGCUGAAAGAUACAUAGUAACUGGAUUUUGAAAGUUCUCAGUGUUGUCUGGAGAACUCCUACUCAUUUUCCAAGGUCCAUCCCAAAGAAGGAAAGAUAGAGCUAGUUAUAAGUGGAUGCAAAGCAUUCCGAGUGGAGCAAUCCCAGGAGCUGGGGCCAGCAGGGUGUUUGCGGACCAGCUUUUGAAAGGCCAAGCCCUUGUGGUGUUUCCACAGACAUUCUUCACCCAUUGCCAUCCAUCGCACAUGUUAUCUUCUGUGUGAUAGGUAUUCCAGCUCCCCCAGACUCCCUUGAAGCUCAGAUGCCAUACGACCCAGUUUGGGCCCAUGAGAUGCAAGUUGAACUCUACAGGAACCUAAGACUCCACACAUACAGGUGGAGCUGUCAUCUUGAGACCAGGAGGAUGCAAGACACACCGGGGAUAGCUGGGUGGAUGCCUGGAGGGAUCCUGAGUCCUCAGAACCUCGCUGAGCAGCUGCUGCAGCCUGGGACUUCCCUCGUCUGGAUGGUUGUUAUAUCUAAAAUAUAAUCCCCAGUUUGGUGAAUACACUGGAUGGGCUUUUGCUAUGUGUAAAUGCAAAAGUAUAAUGUAAAAAUGUGAAUGGGCUAAAUGCUACACCUUGGCACAUAACCAAUGCUUAGGGAAUUUUGAUGAUCCAGUUGAAUGGCCAGCUCUCCCUCUGUGCAGCUUAGGCUGCUCAGCCUCCAGUGGCCCAAUAAAGAGCCAUAAGGGAUGUAUGACUUUGAUGGACUCCUUCUUGGGUUAAAAAAAUUCUCAGGUGGUCUCUUUAUCCUCUUUUAUUUUUUCUGAGACAGAGUUUUGCUCUUGUUGCUCAGGCUGGAAUGCAAUGGCACAGUCUUGGCUCACUGCAACCUCCACUUCUGGGUUCAAGUGAUUCUCCUGCCUCAGCCUCCCAAGUAGCUGAGACUACAGGGGUGUGCCACCAAGCCAGGCUAAUUUUUGUAUGAUUUUGUAGAGAUGGGGUUUCACCAUGUUGGCCAGGCUGAUCUCGAACUCCUGACCUCAAGUGAUCCACCCAGCUCGGCCUCCAGAAGUGCUGGGAUUACAGGCUUGAGCCACCGCACCCAGCAUCUCUCUAUCCUUAAUGUAGCAAGGACUCCAGGGCUUUCUCCUUCUGGGCACCUUUCUUUCUUAGAAGAGGCUAAUUUUGGAGACCAUUUCUAACUAGUUGAUAUAAAUUUUGGGGAAAUCUGUGAAACUGUGGCGUGGGUAGAAGCAUUGACUUUGGAAUCGGUUCGACCAUUUGCCUUUUCUUUCUUUCAACAAAUGCGUAUGGAUGGGCUGGAGGUGUGUGAGCAUAAACAGUCCUUCUUAAAGAACUUAGAGUCUAGUGGAAGAGCAGAGCUGCACUGCUGAGUGACUGAUUGCAAAGCGAGGCAAGUAACACACGGAGCAUGCCAGAGCGUACAAAAGGACUCUUCUGGUGUUCAGAGAAGGCUUCCUGGAGGAGGUGUCCCCUAGACUGACAUCAGCAAGUGACCUGGAUUCAAAUCUCCAUCUGUCACUUACUAGUUGAUAUAGUCUGGGCAAUCAUUUAACCUCUCUAGGCUUCUGUUUCCACAAUUGAAACAUAGAAUUUCUAACAUUUCCCUCUUGUAUUUAUACAGUUUAAAUAAAAUGAUGUUCCUGGUGUCUGGCCCACAGAGAAUCCUUCUUAGACUGCCAGUCACUCUUAUGUUUUUUGUUUCAGGUCAAGCUCCUGGUUUCUCCGGCCUGGGGUUGGUGUCCUCAACACCAGUGCUCAGGGUGGGUCAGACACUGUUGAUCUCUGCCAGUUCAAACCUGUGUAGACAGGCUCGGAAAACAUAUGCUGGGGAGGAUGAGA